rnacentral:rRNA from 1 species
UACAGAGGGUGCGAGCGUUGUCCGGAAUUACUGGGCGUAAAGGGCGUGUAGGCGGCCGACUAAGUCGGGGGUGAAAUCCACUGGCUCAACCAGUGACGUGCCUUCGGGACUGGACGGCUUGAGUAUGGCAGAGGGAAGCGGAAUUCCAGGUGUAGCGGUGAAAUGCGUAGAUAUCUGGAAGAACACCGGUGGCGUAGGCGGCUUCCUGGGCCAAUACUGACGCUGAUGCGCGAAAGCCAGGGGAGCAAACGGG